ensembl:snRNA U6 U6 spliceosomal RNA
GCGCUCAGUUUGGCAGCACAUACACUAAAAUUGGAAUGAUACAAAGAAGAUUAGCAUGGCCCCUGUGCAAGGAUGACAUGCAAAUUUGCAAAGUGUUCCAUAUUUUU